AGAGUUGAUCAUGGCUCAGGAUGAACGCUAGCGACAGGCUUAACACAUGCAAGUCGAGGGGCAGCAUAAAAGUAGCAAUACUUGGUGGCGACCGGCGCACGGGUGAGUAACGCGUAUGCAACCUACCUAUCAGAGGGGAAUAACCCGGCGAAAGUCGGACUAAUACCGCAUAAAACAGGGGCACCGCAUGGUGAUAUUUGUUAAAGAAAUUCGCUGAUAGAUGGGCAUGCGUUCCAUUAGGUAGUUGGUGAGGUAACGGCUCACCAAGCCGACGAUGGAUAGGGGAACUGAGAGGUUGGUCCCCCACACUGGUACUGAGACACGGACCAGACUCCUACGGGAGGCAGCAGUGAGGAAUAUUGGUCAAUGGGCGGGAGCCUGAACCAGCCAAGUCGCGUGAAGGAAAAGAAGGAUCUAUGGUUCGUAAACUUCUUUUGCAGGGGAAUAAAGUGCAGGACGUGUCCUGUUUUGUAUGUACCCUGAGAAUAAGGAUCGGCUAACUCCGUGCCAGCAGCAGC
rnacentral:rRNA from 1 species